GCCAGGAGACAGAGACAGAGUCCCAUCUCACCACUAAUAGUUGUGUGACUUGGAGGUGGAAAGUGACACAACUGAAUGAUGAUUUUCUUGGUAACAUUUGGAAGGGCCACGAGAGCUGCUGGGAUUGGGCUUGCUGUGUUUCCUUGAUGAAUUUCACCUUUAAAGGAGCUUGCUGCAUGAGAGAGGCUGUCUUGCCUUUAAAUUCAUUCUUCAAGUUCGUCCCGGAGGGCAUCGUUUUUCCUGCCUUGAGGAAGCAACAACAAAUAACCCAGGAAAAACACUGCAUAAACAUGGCAUCCAAAGAGAGGAAGCAGAGACAUGAUGCACCAACUACUACUUUAGUAAUUGAAGAGAGAGAGAAGAGCCUGAAGUCAUUCAAUAAUUAGAUCAAAUAAUUUACUAAUGGAUCAUUUGUCUUCCCUUCCAAUCUUCCUUAGCAAGUUGGCUAAUUGCUCCAUGGUCACAAGAUAGCUGCUGAAUCUCUAGAAAUCAUUCCCAAGUCCCAUUCAGGAAGAAAAUAAAAGGGUGCAUUGGCUUUUUCUGUUUCCCUCUUCUCAGAACUCUCUCAGCAGACUUUCACUUACGUGUUAUAUAGUCCAGAACUGGAUGGCAUGGCUCCCCACCGUGUGCAAGGGAGAUUCAACAGGAUUUGGUUUUUCAGCCUCUGUUGGGAGAGACCAAGAGACAGAAGGAGACUGGGUAACACUGUCCACCGUAACCACUUAGUAUAGUGAUAACUCUGGGCAAAUAUUAAUUACUACUGGGCUAGUUGAAAGUUUCUGGGAAGCAAAUCAGUUGCUAAGCACAUGCUCUAUGAGAACCCAUAAUAUAAAUAAGAAGAAGAAAAAAGAAGGUUUAAAUGUUGGCUUACUUAGAGGAAUGCCUAGUUUCUUCUCUAUCACUGUGGUAACCACUAGGUUACAACUGUUACCUUUUCUCACAGAAAGACAAUUCCAAAACAGACCUCAAAUGAAAAUGCUACACAAAUAAUGGAUUAAUUGGGUACCAUUUCUACUCUUCUCAUCAUGUUUUACAAGCAGUUGAAAUAAUAUGUGCCCUUCCCAGUCCCUUUUUAGUAUUUGUCAGUAGAAUAGAGUGUCAAAAACGACUUACGAUGCCUAAAACAUUUAGAAAUUAAAAUAGCAUGUGGUGGUGCCAUGACCUUUUCAAUAUGCUGGUGUUUCAAUUGUUCAGCCAUUCCUCUUGUUCUUUUUCCUGACUGUUCUUUAUCAGAGGAAAAGGUAAAUUGGCACCUCAAGUAUGGAGUACUCAAAGGAACUAAACAGCACAUUAUUGAAACAAUUCAGAGGCAAUCCCGCAUAGCUUCCAAGUGCCAUGGAAACAAAAGAUGGUAACUUUAUUAAUUGUGAAAGGUUGGGGGAACGAAUUUAGUAUCUUGCUUUGCCAGUUUUCCUCUAGUGCACAGUAUAGUUUCCAGGACCUGCAUACAAACAUCAGUUCAUGAUCAAAAUGUGACCUUGCCUGUCCCGAUGAAUAAAACUAAUAAAUUCCCCAAUGAUAUGCUUAUUAUGCUUCUCUGAGGGAAGAUGGUUGCUUUCGUGUCAUUGUGGUUCCAUAAUAUCUCUUGGAAGGAGGCUUCUGAGGAUGCCCAAGCUGCUCCUCUGGGUUUCCCUAACACCCUGCAUGCGCUCAUCGUGUAGAAAUUGCCACAUAGCGUUACAGGUUUCUGUUCACUUAUUUCGUCUGCCCAGUGGGAAUGUGAUUUCCUGAAGAGCACCUAGCACAUGCCUAAAACACAAAAGGACUUCACUAAACAUUUGCUGAAUAACUACCACCUGUGCCAAGAAGCAGACCGGCUUCCGCUACAACUGACAGCCCUUCUCUCCUGCUAGUCAGAGAUUCUCUGUCUUGGAAGAGACUUUAGGAAACAGCAGACAUCUUGGAUGUGUGCCUGCCUGCAUUACCACCUUCUCCAGUUUUAUCCUAAAGCUGACUUCAGUACAGCUCUCCCCAAACUGUGGAAACUUUGGAUGACUACCUAAGAACUCCACAAACUCAAGCAGCUUUAAAGCCACUCUGCAACUUUCCUACAAUGAAAGAGGAGGCAGGUACCAUUCUCAGAUAAUACCGAUGAAUUCAGAAACCAAAAUAAAUCUGAAAAAAUGUAGUGCUUCACACUUACAUUUAUACCCUUCUCCCUUCUUGCUUUAUUCCCCAGAAGUGAGUAGCUCCUGAAACUGAUAGCCAAGAGAUGUUCAGGAAGAACCUGUCCCCAAACAGGUGUUUGCACACCCAAGUUAUGU
rnacentral:lncRNA from 1 species